GCUCCUGUGGCCUAAUUGGCAAGGCGUGAGACUUCUAUUUUCUAAAGUAUCUUAAGAUUGUGGGUUCGAUCCCCACCAGGAGUG